AUUGAACGCUGGCGGCAGGCUUAACACAUGCAAGUCGAACGAUGAAACUCUAGCUUGCUAGAGAAGAUUAGUGGCGGACGGGUGAGUAACAUUUAGGAAUCUGCCUAGUAGUGGGGGAUAGCUCGGGGAAACUCGAAUUAAUACCGCAUACGACCUACGGGUGAAAGGGGGCGCAAGCUCUUGCUAUUAGAUGAGCCUAAAUCAGAUUAGCUAGUUGGUGGGGUAAAGGCCUACCAAGGCGACGAUCUGUAACUGGUCUGAGAGGAUGAUCAGUCACACCGGAACUGAGACACGGUCCGGACUCCUACGGGAGGCAGCAGUGGGGAAUAUUGGACAAUGGGGGCAACCCUGAUCCAGCCAUGCCGCGUGUGUGAAGAAGGCCUUUUGGUUGUAAAGCACUUUAAGCAGGGAGGAGAGGCUAAUGGUUAAUACCCAUUAGAUUAGACGUUACCUGCAGAAUAAGCACCGGCUAACUCUGUGCCAGCAGCCGCGGUAAUACAGAGGGUGCGAGCGUUAAUCGGAAUUACUGGGCGUAAAGCGAGUGUAGGUGGCUCAUUAAGUCACAUGUGAAAUCCCCGGGCUUAACCUGGGAACUGCAUGUGAUACUGGUGGUGCUAGAAUAUGUGAGAGGGAAGUAGAAUUCCAGGUGUAGCGGUGAAAUGCGUAGAGAUCUGGAGGAAUACCGAUGGCGAAGGCAGCUUCCUGGCAUAAUAUUGACACUGAGAUUCGAAAGCGUGGGUAGCAAACAGGAUUAGAUACCCUGGUAGUCCACGCCGUAAACGAUGUCUACUAGCCGUUGGGGUCCUUGAGACUUUAGUGGCGCAGUUAACGCGAUAAGUAGACCGCCUGGGGAGUACGGCCGCAAGGUUAAAACUCAAAUGAAUUGACGGGGGCCCGCACAAGCGGUGGAGCAUGUGGUUUAAUUCGAUGCAACGCGAAGAACCUUACCUGGUCUUGACAUAGUGAGAAUCCUGCAGAGAUGCGGGAGUGCCUUCGGGAACUCACAUACAGGUGCUGCAUGGCUGUCGUCAGCUCGUGUCGUGAGGUGUUGGGUUAAGUCCCGCAACGAGCGCAACCCUUUUCCUUAUUUGCCAGCGGGUUAAGCCGGGAACUUUAAGGAUACUGCCAGUGACAAACUGGAGGAAGGCGGGGACGACGUCAAGUCAUCAUGGCCCUUACGACCAGGGCUACACACGUGCUACAAUGGUAGGUACAGAGGGUUGCUACACAGCGAUGUGAUGCUAAUCUCAAAAAGCCUAUCGUAGUCCGGAUUGGAGUCUGCAACUCGACUCCAUGAAGUCGGAAUCGCUAGUAAUCGCAGAUCAGAAUGCUGCGGUGAAUACGUUCCCGGGCCU
rnacentral:rRNA from 1 species